CAUUUGCCCCUUGGGGAGGAUUUCCCGACUGGAGUGCGCAUCUCUGUUUACUUUAUGGCGCAGUACUACUAACCGGAGCUAAGUAAAAUUCCGCCGCUGCUGAGAAACUAGUCCCUCAAAAUGUAAUGCAAUCAUUGAGAUG